UAUCUAGACAGCUUGGGAUUUUCAUUAUU
rnacentral:piRNA from 1 species